rnacentral:rRNA from 1 species
AUUGAACGCUGGCGGUAUGCUUAACACAUGCAAGUCGAACGGUAACAGGCCUUCGGGCGCUGACGAGUGGCGGACGGGUGAGUAACGCGUAGGAAUCUGCCUCAUAGUGGGGGACAACGUGGGGAAACUCACGCUAAUACCGCAUACGCCCUACGGGGAAAGCGGGGAUCUUCGGACCUCGCGCUAUGAGAUGAGCCUGCGUUAGAUUAGCUAGUUGGUAGGGUAAAGGCCUACCAAGGCGACGAUCUAUAGCUGGUCUGAGAGGACGAUCAGCCACACUGGGACUGAGACACGGGCCCCAGACUCCUACGGGAGGCAGCAGUGGGGAAUAUUGGACAAUGGGCGCAAGCCCUGAUCCAGCAAUACCGCGUGUGUGAAGAAGGCCUUAGGGUGUAAAGCACUUUC